CCGAGAGUCAACAAUACAGAGUGAUAAAGAGAUGUCAGCAAAUGGCAGAAAACGAUAACACAAAAAUCUAGCUUGUACUAUUAAUUCGUACGAAUAACUAUGGCAUCUACAGAUACUCUAAUACUGGGCAGUAUCAACUAUUAUUGUCGAGCAAGAUUUUACACGCACCUACAAAACGUGUGUUUGCAAGGUUUGCAGAAGCACGGAGGUGAUCCGGUUUUGACAUUUUGGAAAGCAUUUGGAAUACUGAUGGAAGAUCGUGUGUCAGAAGCCAUUAGAGAAUUUGAAUCCAUCCAAGAAAGUGAAGAAGUUGUCCUGUGUUGUUUGAUGGCAUUAAUCUAUGCACAUAAAAAGGCACAAUUAAUUGACAAGGAAAGUGUACAUGAAUUGGAAACAAGAUUGAAAAAGAUUCGAACAAGUGUUGGUGAGAAUGCGCUAUACUUUGCUGCAAUGUUUUUGUGGCACACAGUACGUCAUGAAAAAGCAAGAGAAUAUGUUGACAGAAUGUUGAAAAUGUCCAAUGGUUCGAAAGAGGUUUUCUAAACACUGGAAUUUUUUAAUAAAGUAAGGAAUUUUUUAAUAAAGUAAGGAAUGCGCUGGAAUUUUUUAAUAAAGUAAGUUGUUUAUUGUGAAAUAUCGAUGGAAGUGGAGUCAAUAAUUCAAACAAGACCUGGUAUGAUUGUGCAAGGACAAACAAUGCAAUUGCAAGUGAAGGCAUCCACCAGCCCUGUUGCAUAUGAGAAACUUAAGAAUAUUCUUCUCAAAGAGCGUCGUCAAACGUGUCGCAGCGAUUUAGAAGUAAGCACAAAGUUGAAUACUGCGUGAUAUAAAGCGCUCUCAAAGACCAGCGGAGAG